UGAAAGAGAGAGAGAGAGUAACAUAGAGGGAAGUGCCUAAGGGGUGCUACAGUGCGAGGGCAAUCAAACAAGCAUUGAAAAAUCAACUCAAACUAGUGCCAAAUUCCUUUCGAACAUCAAGAUAAGACAAGUCAUAUAACCGCAUGCUUGUUGCUCACGAAAAAGUGUGACUUAUAUCAAAGCACAAACAACAAAAACAAAC
rnacentral:lncRNA from 1 species